UUUGUUUUAGUCAAUUGCUAUCGCCAAGAUGUUCGCAAAUCAGUUCGUUUUAUUUAACAUGGUGAUGUUUCUCUUAUACAUAUAUAGGGAAAUGAUUGAGAGUGUUCCAGCCUGUAUAGAUGAAUGUUUAAUACAGGAGGGAUGUUGCCCCACGAUCAUUUUUAAUAGCAAAGAUCCAAUGGAUAAAAGUUGGGCUAACGACUUUUUUAAAAUGAAUGAAUGACAAAAUUUAAUUUGUUCAGAGAGAAUAAAAAUUAAUUUUUGCCGUGAUUGCUAAAUAAAAAGUUGCAUCUUUUAAA
rnacentral:sRNA from 1 species